rnacentral:rRNA from 1 species
GAUGAACGCUAGCGGGAGGCCUAACACAUGCAAGCCGAGCGGUAUUGUUUCUUCGGAAAUGAGAGAGUGGCGUACGGGUGCGUAACACGUGUGCAACCUGCCUUUAUCUGGGGGAUAGCCUUUCGAAAGGAAGAUUAAUACUCCAUAAUAUAUUGAACGGCAUCGUUUAAUAUUGAAAGCUCCGGCGGAUAGAGAUGGGCACGCGCAAGAUUAGCUAGUUGGUGAGGUAACGGCUCACCAAGGCGAUGAUCUUUAGGGGGCCUGAGAGGGGGAUCCCCCACACUGGUACUGAGACACGGACCAGACUCCUACGGGAGGCAGCAGUGAGGAAUAUUGGUCAAUGGGUGCAAGCCUGAACCAGCCAUCCCGCGUGAAGGACGACUGCCCUAUGGGUUGUAAACUUCUUUUGUACAGGGAUAAACCUACCCUCGUGAGGGUAGCUGAAGGUACUAUACGAAUAAGCACCGGCUAACUCCGUGCCAGCCGCCGCCGUAA